rnacentral:rRNA from 1 species
AGUGGGGAAUAUUGGACAAUGGGCGCAAGCCUGAUCCAGCCAUGCCGCGUGAGUGACGAAGGCCUUAGGGUUGUAAAGCUCUUUUGGCGGGGACGAUAAUGACGGUACCCGCAGAAUAAGUCCCGGCUAACUUCGUGCCAGCAGCCGCGGUAAUACGAAGGGGACUAGCGUUGUUCGGAAUUACUGGGCGUAAAGCGCACGUAGGCGGAUUGCUAAGUCAGGGGUGAAAUCCCGGGGCUCAACCUCGGAACUGCCUUUGAUACUGACAAUCUCGAGUCCGAUAGAGGUGGGUGGAAUUCCUAGUGUAGAGGUGAAAUUCGUAGAUAUUAGGAAGAACACCGGUGGCGAAGGCGGCCCACUGGAUCGGUACUGACGCUGAGGUGCGAAAGCGUGGGGAGCAAA